UCCAGCUACACGAGGACUUACCGAGGCGAAGUACCACACUAUCGUCUCAUUCAGGUUCACCGUCGGGUUUGGCUUGAUUCCGACCCACACGUCAGCGAUCAUCCCUCUCUCCCAGUGCUGCAGGCGAGAGGCAGAGCACGCAGAAGAGAGAGAGGCUUGAUGCGAGAGAGCCAGAAGACAGAAAGAAGCAACAUCCUGACCCCAGUGACACCCUAACGAGAAUUCUGCGUCAGUGGGAAAGAAACAUCAAAGGACUUAUAAAGACCCAAUACGUUGAUUUUAGUGCUUGGAGUCGUUACAUAUCCCAGUGAAAGAGUUAAAAGGAUGGUUAUUAAGAACACAAACGCAGCAACACUCACUAGUCCAAUAAUACGAGUAGAGAAGACUUGUGUUGCCCUCGUCUGGCUUGUUGAUGCAGGCUUGGAACACCUGACACCAGCGCCCCCCCGACACUCAUCCACCCCGAAGAAGGUGUAGUUGAAGUAAGGGCCGAACUCCAUC